rnacentral:lncRNA from 1 species
AUGCAUCAAAUCUUGGGUCCUCUAGCUUCGGUCUUCUACCUAAAGGUGAUUAAGUUUCCUUUUCCUUUCAGGAACAUACGGUUUAGUUGGGACCAUUUAAUAUUUUUCUUUCAAGUGUUAAACUGCCUGAAUGUGCUGUAAGUCUCCGGUGGAAUGGCUGUCAUCCCUCCAAGAGUAACUCCGGUGGAAUGUGAAGAUAAUGUCGUGACCCGGG